rnacentral:lncRNA from 1 species
GCCCCUCGCCCCCCACCCUAGCCCCCGGAGCGCCAUUCGCGGAGCGGCUUACGCUAGUCGCCAGGCGUACGGCGCCCCAGCGGCCGGGGAGGUGCGCUGCCCGGCUCCCGUAAAGUUAUUGUGAAUGGGGAGCGGGUGACGUCAGCGCCGAAUGUCAACAAUGUAGCGAUUGAGAGUGUGGGCGUUCCGGGGAGAGCGCGAGCCGCGCGGCGCGGAGCAAACAGCGCCGAGCCGCCGCCGCCUCAGCAGCAGCAGCAGCAGCGACCGUGCACACCCGGGCUGCGGUCGCAGCAGCGCUAACGUGAGCGCCCGCCGCCGCCCUCUCCACCCCGCCUGCCUAUUCCCGCGGCCGCCGGGCUCUUGCUUUCUCUCCGGCCUCCCCUCGACCCUUCCCCUCCCCCUACGCGGCACACUCGGGGGGCUGGGAACGAGCUGCCAUGUGAUGUGCGUCCUCUCCAAGAGCUUUCGGUGACCCCCGAACCGCCCACCGCGCCAGCUCCCGGGAGGAGGCUGCAGGCUAGAAAGACACUGGGAAGAGGAGGCGGAAAAGGACGCAAAGUUCUCUGGCGAGCACAGCUGUCUGCUUUGGGAAGUGAAGUCUACAGCAACGAGGAGAAUCUUUCCAAGCUGCCUCGCACUGUGACAUGUCUGAGCCCUUGCUCCAGUCCCUGCAACAUGAACAAGGUCAGCAUUUUUCUUACGGUUUUCUUGGCAUGA